UUUGGUAUCAUCCCAUACAAGCCCAAGUGAAUUCUGGAAGGAAGUCAUGGAGCGUCGGUGGGACGAUAGGAGUUUUAAUACGAUGAACAACUGAAGUAGAACUGAUGAGAAUUUGUAACAUUCUAAAGACCCAACAUCCUUAUAUGUGGUGUCCAUGCAUGGUAUGUUUGUGCAUAGAAUUGCAUUAUACAAUUAUGCUUGCAAAGUUAAAUAUGCUUGCAAAGUUUGCACAUGGUUGGUGAGCCAAUUAUGCAUGCUUCUCUAGGACGUCCACUCUAUAAAUGCUGAGCAUCACCAUGGUGCAGCCAAGAACAAAACAAUCUUAUUCUAGUAGAAAGAGUGAAACCUUGGAAGAAGAUUGGAAGUUAAGAUGUGAACAUGGUGUGUGAAAAAAAUAUGAUUAGCUUAUUGUAAGAUUCUAUUAGGAAGAAGAGGCAUCAGGAGUGGUAGAUAUAUUUAGGAUUGAUAGCCUGCUCGUAGAAGGACCAACUAGAGGAAGUAGAAAAUAUAGAGAAUGACCUCAAUAUGUCCAACCAUCGUGAUAAGUAUGAUUGUCCUAGGAUGUAGGGGCU
rnacentral:lncRNA from 1 species